rnacentral:ncRNA from 1 species
UUGUCUUCAGGGCAGGGUGUAAUUCCCGACCGGCGGUACAGUCCGCGAGCCUUCGGGCCGAUCCGGUGUGAUUCCGGAACCGACAGUGACAGUCUGGAUGGAAGAAGACG